GAUGAACGCUGGCGGCGUGCCUCAAACAUGCAAGUCGAGCGAGGCUAUGAAUUACCGCAAGGUAAGGCAUAGCCUAGCGGCGAACGGGUGAGUAACACGUGGGUAACCUACCUGGAAGACAGGGAUAACGAUUCGAAAGGGUCGCUAAUACCUGAUAAUAUCCGUCUGCCGGAUGGCGGAGGGAAGAAAGGGGAAACCCGCUUUCAGAUGGGCCCGCGUCCCAUCAGCUAGUUGGUAAGGUAAAGGCUUACCAAGGCGACGACGGGUAGCCGGUCUGAGAGGAUGUACGGCCACACUGGGACUGAGAUACGGCCCAGACUCCUACGGGAGGCAGCAGUUGGGAAUCUUCGGCAAGUGGGCGGAAGCCUGACCGAGCGACGCCGCGUGAGGGACGAAGGCCUUCGGGUUGUAAACCUCGUGUCGUGGGGGACGAGGUAAGGACCGGUACCCCGGAGGAACGCCCGGCUAACUACGUG
rnacentral:rRNA from 1 species